rnacentral:lncRNA from 1 species
UUCCCAAACUUGUGUCCCCAGACUGUCUGAACAGAGCGCUCAUAAAUGUUUAAUUAUGGACUUGUUCUUUUUUCCUCACAGUGCGCACAGAGCUCGAUUCUCAAGAGUGAAGGCUGAGGAAAGUCAAAUGACAGACUUCUCCUUUGGACCAAUAGAAGCCCCUAAAUCCCAAGGCAGUCAUUUUGAUCAAGCCGAGUGCCUACAAGCCCCACUCACAUGUUUGGUCAAGAGGUGAACGCUCAGCAGAUGACAGUCCUCCUACCUCGGAUUGCAGGCGGAGAAGCGGGGCUUUCCCAAUCCUCUGUGGCGAAAUACUUCCCGUGCUCUGCCUACUCAGCCCACCGAGGGAUUGUUGAUGCUUCCUGAUUUCAUGUGCUGCACGGUGUGAACACAUCUCUGUUUCUCAGUGACAUGGAGAAGGAGGAACAGAUGAGUUAAAUGGAAUCAUUUUAUGUUACAUCACAUCAGAAAUACUGGGCUAACAGCAAAGAUAACAGACCAUAUCAGCACUAUGAAAUAGUGUUCUAGCAUACAAUACAAUUCCUGCUAUUAGGGCAUUACAACAAGUAAAAAUAAAAAUACUGAGAUUUCAUAACAUUAUAAAGUCUUCUGAGCUUCUUACUAAAAACACCCAGUGAACAACAAAAGAAAGAAGGUCUAGAACUGAAAUACUCAAAUCCUGCAGGGAUGGGGACACUUUUGCCAUUGAGACGACUGCAAAAAAUGUCCCAAUUAUCCUGAAAUAAUAAGCAAUUUAAUAAUAUAUUGCUACCUAUACAAUAAUGUUAAAAGUCUAUAAUAUGCCAUUGAAAAUGAAAAUGUUAUAUUAACAACAGGAUUUUAAAAAUGUUUUAUUUGCAGUGUCUGAUCAAAAUCAGACAAAUUAACUGAACAAAAGCCACAAACCGCUGAAGAUAUGCAAACUGCCCGACAAAGCUGGUGACUUUAAGAUACAAAAUGAUUUAAAUUUGUUGUUCAGUCUAAAUUAGCAUCACUCAAGGACCUUCCAUUUUUAUCAUUUAUACUGUAGUAUACUGUUUUCCUUGCUGCAGAUUUAAAUGAAAUAGAUAACUGGGGAAAAAAAAUUCUACUCACUCGAGCAGCAUUUGCGUGGUUGUCUGUCGAUCGGAACUGUAAAUGGAGCAUGUUUCGUUUGUGACGUCUGGCCGCUGUUGAACGGAAACUGAUAUUAGUGCCAGAGAGUGCAUGUAAAAUCACAUUCGGAGCGGAUGACUGGUAACUAUCCUGAGUAAACAAAGGGCUUUGUUGAGCAAGAAAGAA